rnacentral:rRNA from 1 species
UACGUAGGGGGCAAGCGUUAAUCGGAAUUACUGGGCGUAAAGCGUGCGCAGGCGGUUUUGUAAGUCUGUCGUGAAAGCCCCGGGCUCAACCUGGGAAUUGCGAUGGAGACUGCAAGGCUUGAAUCUGGCAGAGGGGGGUAGAAUUCCACGUGUAGCAGUGAAAUGCGUAGAGAUGUGGAGGAACACCGAUGGCGAAGGCAGCCCCCUGGGUCAAGAUUGACGCUCAUGCACGAAAGCGUGGGGAGCAAACAGG